AUUGAACGCUGGCGGCAUGCUUUACACAUGCAAGUCGAACGGUAACAGGGUGCUUGCACCGCUGACGAGUGGCGAACGGGUGAGUAAUGCGUCGGAACGUGCCGAGUAGUGGGGGAUAACGCAUCGAAAGGUGUGCUAAUACCGCAUACGUACUGAGGUAGAAAGUGGGGGACCUUCGGGCCUCACGCUAUUCGAGCGGCCGACGUCUGAUUAGCUAGUUGGUGAGGUAAAGGCUCACCAAGGCGACGAUCAGUAGCGGGUCUGAGAGGAUGAGCCGCCACACUGGGACUGAGACACGGCCCAGACGCCUACGGGAGGCAGCAGUGGGGAAUUUUGGACAAUGGGCGCAAGCCUGAUCCAGCCAUGCCGCGUGUCUGAAGAAGGCCUUCGGGUUGUAAAGGACUUUUGUCCGGGAGCAAAUACCCAGUGCUAAUAACGCUGGGGGCUGAGAGUACCGGAAGAAUAAGCACCGGCUAACUACGUGCCAGCCGCCGCAGUAAAAC
rnacentral:rRNA from 1 species